CUUUUUUUUUUUUUAAUGCAAUCGUUGAUUGGCUCAAACCAGAUUGAACUGGAAUUGGAGAGACCUUGUGGUUUGGUCCUAUGCCCUUGGUCCCAGGAACCAGACCAGUGGCCGCCAUUGCUCUGUUUUGACUAUGUUUUUAUAAUGGUGAAACAAAAAUAACUUGCUGGAAGCCUUGGCUAGUUAUUCUCGAUUUGACAUGCUUUUAAUCCAGCUGUCAUUUUAUAGGAUUAGGUUUCAUAAAGCUUUUUUUUCCUUGUGGAGGGAGAAAGUUUUAUAAGGUUUUGGACCACUCCACUUGAACAAUCCAGAGGCUAGAAAAGCUGUGACAUCAACUUUUUGCAAUCAACGAUGUGAGAAAGCUAAUUGCUUAGAUCAGCUUUAGCAACUUAUGAAUUGUGAACCUAUAAUUGGAGCAACCAUUUGUGGAUAUGAUUUAAGGUCUGUUUGGCAUUAUUGUUGGAGCUGUUGCUGAGAAAAAAACUUUUUUAAAUAUAGUAGUUGAAGAGUAUUAACAAAAUGAUUAAAAAUAAAAUUUAAUAAGUUUUAGCUAUAAGAGCACUAAAAUAACAAAAUAGUUCUUUUCAAACUGUUUUUUCAAGAGCAUUUAAAAUUGUGUUUUUUUUCCUUUGAAAGCAGUUUUGACUCUCUAAUCACAAUGUCAAAUAGACACUUAUUCUCAUUUGUUGGGCAGUACCUAAGGUAGUAAGAACCUUAUAACGGAUUGAUUUAACAAAUUAUUUUUCUUAGAAAAUAAGACUUAAUUUGGAAAUAGUGGAGGUAAAAACAAUAGGUGUUACUUUUGAGGUAGAAGAUUGUCUUAUUUGUUUUCCAUAGCCUCUGAGAGAUGGGCCAUUGGAAAUAUUCUUGUAAAUCCUUUCAUUCAUAUUUCCAAAAAGCGGAUUCCACUUUAAUAGCUUUGAAUAAUUCAAACACAUGCAUUAAGAUAAGGCCUCUUAUUCCAUGACAGCGAAAGCACUGUUAACUCUUUCGGAUGUUGGGGGAAAAAUGUUGCAUGCUAGAUUAUGUGUAGGCAACACUUGAUAGAUACGUGUAUGUCCCCUGAUGGUGUUUUGGUCUCUUCUUUUGUGAAUGACUAUUCUGUGCCCUAUACUCAUCACUUGCAUCUUGUACACUACUAAAAAUAACUGUAAUUUUUGCAGUAUACCAUAACCAACUGUUUCAAUAAUUUGAAUCCUCUCAGGUUGUUUUCCCAAGCUUCG
rnacentral:misc_RNA from 1 species